UAUAUAAAGAGUCAGGCCUGCCCAAUGAAAUAUUUAAAUGGCCGCGGUACUCUGACCGUGCAAAGGUAGCAUAAUCAUUUGCCUUAUAAUUGAAGGCUCGUAUGAAUGGUUAGACGAAAGUAUUACUGUCUCCUUUCUAUUUUUUAGAAUUUAACCUUUAGGUGAAGAGGCCUAAAUUUAAUUGAAGGACAAGAAGACCCUGUCGAGCUUAAAAGAUAUUACAUAGAGGUUUAUAUAUUUUUAAAUAAAUUUACUAUUAAGCUUUUUAGUUGGGGCGACUAAGGAACAAAAAAAGCUUCUUAUAAUAACUAGAUAGAUAAAUUUUGAGCCGAUAAAAUCGAUUAAAAAAAUUAGUUACCGCAGGGAUAACAGCAUAAUCUCUCUUGAGAGACCUAAUCGAAAGAGGGGGUUGUGACCUCGAUGUUGGACUAAAAUAUCCUAAAGGAGUAGAAACCUUUGAGGGUC
rnacentral:rRNA from 1 species